rnacentral:lncRNA from 1 species
GGUGCUAAACCUCCAUCGUGCCAAACCGAUCUCUUUGUCUAGAUCGGGCUCUUGUGCGCAGGUCCAAAGAGCAAAAGCCCGCCAAAAAGUCACCAGUCCAUCUCCCAGGGCACUAGCCGAACCCCUGAGGGCUAUAGCCUGUCCCCAGGGUGCAUGAGAAUCCCGAGUUAAGCUACCAGUCCUAGUUAAACACGUCACACCUUAGGGUAUAUAAGCCACACACGUUUCUGAGCCUUCUUUGUCUACCUCAUUAUGUUGUGAAAUAAAGUAACCACGGAAGGAUCUGUGUGUCCUGUGUGUGUUACUGCGGGCAGGGACAAAGCUCAGGAUAGUUGGUGCUUGGAACCCGGGAAUACGCCUUACCAAUGCGCCCAGAGAGAAGACCCUCCGACCAACCGGAGCAGAUUCAGAACCUUGGUGGAUUCAGCUCCGAGAGGAUACUGGAAGAAGACAACCCAUUCUGGCUGCCGGAACGACUGACGUGAAGAAUUCUGACACCUGAAGAUGACUCCCGGAUGGAUCCCUUGGAAACUACCUCUAGUCCUCUUGCUACCUCUGUGGAUUUGGGUUCCUAGUAUAUUUGGAGAAUAUAGAUGGGCAAUUCUGUCUGCUUUCCCUAAGCCCAUGCCUGUUCGUCAUAAUACAGCUGUUUUUCCCAAGUUUUUUACGACCAAUAAAAUUUUAGGCCUACCAUACCUACCAUUUGACCCUAUCUGGGCACCACUGGGAGAAAAACACUCUAUAAGGGAACGAGGUUCUCUCUGUUUCCAAAUUUAUGAAUUGGGAGAUUGUAUCAGACUCACCUGCCAGGCUUUGGGAAUGUUUAUUAAGUAUGGAGGAGGCUUGGUGAAAAUAACCCAAGACACUUCCAACAGAGAUAUAACCUUUACAAAUCAGACCUUCUGGCAGGAGGCAAUUUGGGUUAAUGGUACAUUUCUACCACCUAACUUUUCAGACAAAGAACGCCCCAAUCAACCAAAAAUGGCUCCUCAUUGUAGCUUGGAAGAUGAAGGGCUGAUCCUGCCUUGGUCUGAUUGUCAAUCCUCCGUAACUCGUUGGGCAGAUCAGAGUAAAACCUUUUCCUUUUCUCCCAACAUGAUGGAUGACCCAGAGGAGAAAUUUGUUAUGAAAAAGGGACUUUUCAUACAGGACUUUAGAAUGUAUCCUUUUCAUAAAUGGGUACUUUGUGGGAUUAAUGGUAGCUGUACAGAUCUUAAUCCCUUGGUUUUCCUCCAAGGAGGAGCUGCUGGAAAAGCGAUUUUUAAUGGUAUUUCAAAAUUUGCUCAGUUUCAUCAAGUUCUGUUACCUGAUAGAACCAUUUAUCAAAAUUCUACCACUGAAAUCACUGGAUUUAAUAAGACCCUGAUAAAGCAGACUAAUUAUUCACCUACUCCAGUUUGUGUGUACACUCCUUUCUUGUUUAUUCUUUCUAACGGUUCCUUUGAAUCCUGUACUAAUGAAACCUGCUGGAUGUCACAAUGCUGGAACCUUAAGUGGGCCAGCCGUGCUAUGCUUGCCAAGAUUCCACGAUGGGUUCCUGUCCCCGUGGAGAUCCCUUCCACCAUAACUUUACACAGGCAAAAAUGAGACUUUGGUAUCACUGCAGCCAUUGUGGUGGUAAUGGCUGCCAAUGCGGUGGCAGCUACAGCUGCUGGAAUUGCUAUGGCAACAUCAGUCCAGUCAAGCACAACUGUCGAGCAGUUGUCCUCCUCUGUGGCAGAGGCGAUCGAUCAACAUUCAGUGCUCAGUGCCCAAUUAAAAGGUGGGCUAAUGAUAGUGAACCAGCGCAUUGAUCUGGUGGAGGAAAGGAUGGAAAUUCUGCUCCAAUUGGCCCAGCUUGGCUGUGAUAAGAAAUCAGGAGCCUUAUGUAUUACUAGUGUCCAAUAUGAAAAUUGGACACGUGCAGCUAAUCUAUCUAAAGAAUUGUCUUUGUUUCUUACAGGAAACUGGUCUGAAGGAUUUGACGAAAAGCUUGAGGCGCUACGUGCAGCAGUGAUGACCAUUAAUUCUACGUGCGUGGACCCAUCAUUGGUUGAUGGAAUCAAAGGACUUUCUUCCUGGAUGUCCUCUGCAUUCUCACAUUUUAAAGAGUGGGUGGGAGUGGGCCUGUUUGGCACAACCCUGUGUUGUGGACUAGUGUUUAUUCUUUGGCUGGUGUGCAAACUCAGAUCUCAGCAGAGACGUGACAAGGUGGUAAUUGCUCAAGCACUUGCUGCCAUAGAGCAAGGCACCUCCCCUAAAAUCUGGUUAUCUAUGCUAAAAUGACCUCACAAGCACUUGACUGCUCAGCUCUUGCACUCCUAGAGGCUAGUCUCAUUGCACAGGAUAAAGUGAGUAAGUUUCUGACUCUUAUGGAUUGCUGGGCUAAGCACCACAUAGGAGUUGCUCAGAGAUUCGAGUGCUCCUAGAAGACAAGUCGAUUUGCAAGAGGGUUGAGUGUCCAAGUGUCCCUCCCCUAGGAAAAAUGGCACGGGAGCAGGUCAGGGUUACUCUGGGAAAAAAACCUGUGAGCCUAAGAGCUAAUCCUGUACAUGGCCCCUAUUUCUGCACACUAGGGAUUCGACCUCUAUCUUCAUCCAUUAAAGAGUAGCUUGCAUUUUAAAUUUUAUAUUAAAAAGGGGGAGAUGUGGAAAGCCACAAUAUACGUGCGGUCACUAGAUGGUGCUAAACCUCCAUCGUGCCAAACCGAUCUCUUUGUCUAGAUCGGGCUCUUGUGCGCAGGUCCAAAGAGCAAAAGCCCGCCAAAAAGUCACCAGUCCAUCUCCCAGGGCACUAGCCCAACCCCUGGGGGCUAUAUCCUGUCCCCAGGGUGCAUGAGAAUCCUGAGUUAAGCUACCAGUCCUAGUUAAACACGUCACACCUUAGGGUAUAUAAGCCACACACGUUUCUGAGCCUUAUUUGUCUACCUCAUUAUGUUGUGAAAUAAAGUAACCAUGGA